GGUAGAUCAGAGAAGUAGCUUGCUACUAGACGACGACCGGCGCACGGGUGAGUAACGCGUAUGCAACCUGCCUUGUACAGGGGGAUAGCCCGGAGAAAUCCGGAUUAAUACCGCAUAACAAUCAUUUUUCGCAUGGGAGAUGAUUUAAACCUUCGGGGGUAUAAGAUGGGCAUGCGUAACAUUAGCUUGUUGGUGAGGUAACGGCUCACCAAGGCGAUGAUGUUUAGGGGGUCUGAGAGGAUAGUCCCCCACACUGGUACUGAGACACGGACCAGACUCCUACGGGAGGCAGCAGUGAGGAAUAUUGGUCAAUGGGCGCAAGCCUGAACCAGCCAUGUCGCGUGCAGGAUGACUGCCCUAUGGGUUGUAAACUGCUUUUUUACGGGAAUAAACCUUUCUACGUGUAGAAAGCUGAAGGUACCGUAUGAAUAAGGAUCGGCUAACUCCGUGCCAGCAGCCGCGGUAAUACGGAGGAUUCGAGCGUUAUCCGGAUUUAUUGGGUUUAAAGGGUCCGUAGGCGGGCGAUUAAGUCAGUGGUGAAAUCUCACAGCUCAACUGUGAAACUGCCAUUGAUACUGGUUGUCUUGAAUUUAGUUGAGGUGGGCGGAAUACGUUAUGUAGCGGUGAAAUGCAUAGAUAUAACGUAGAACACCGAUUGCGAAGGCAGCUCACUAAGCUACUAUUGACGCUGAUGGACGAAAGCGUGGGGAGCGAACAGGAUUAGAUACCCUGGUAGUCCACGCCGUAACGAUGAUUACUCGUUGUGCGCGAUACACAGUGCGCGACUGAGCGAAAGCAUUAAGUAA
rnacentral:rRNA from 1 species